rnacentral:rRNA from 1 species
UAAGGAAUAUUGGUCAAUGGACGAAAGUCUGAACCAGCCAUGCCGCGUGAAGGAUUAAGGUCCUCUGGAUUGUAAACUUCUUUUAUAUGGGACGAAAAAAGGCGAUUCUUCGUCACUUGACGGUACCAUAUGAAUAAGCACCGGCUAACUCCGUGCCAGCAGCCGCGGUAAUACGGAGGGUGCAAGCGUUAUCCGGAUUCACUGGGUUUAAAGGGUGCGUAGGCGGGCAGGUAAGUCAGUGGUGAAAUCCUAGAGCUUAACUCUAGAACUGCCAUUGAUACUAUCUGUCUUGAAUAUUGUGGAGGUAAGCGGAAUAUGUCAUGUAGCGGUGAAAUGCUUAGAUAUGACAUAGAACACCUAUUGCGAAGGCAGCUUACUACGCAUAUAUUGACGCUGAGGCACGAAAGCGUGGGGAUCAAACA